GACGAACGCUGGCGGCGUGCUUAACACAUGCAAGUCGAACGGAAAGGCCCCUUUUGGGGUACUCGAGUGGCGAACGGGCGAGUAACACGUGAGUAACCUCCCCUUGACUUCGGGAUAACAUCAGGAAACUGGGGCGAAUACCGGAGAGGAAUCCUUGCUGCAUGGAGGGGGUGGGAAAGCUUCGGCGGUUUUGGAGGGACUCGCGGCGUAUCUGCUUGUUGGUGGGGUAGUGGCUUACAAAGGCGCGGACGGGAGGCCGGCCUGAGAGGGCGACAGGCCACAUUGGGACUGAGAGACGGCCCAGACGCGUACGGGAGGAAGAAGUGGGGAAUCUUGAUCCAUGGGCGGAGGCCUGAUGAAGCAACGCCGCGUGCGGGAUGACGGCCUUCGGGUUGUAGAACGCUUUCAGCAGGGGCGAAGCUUGUGGUGACGGUACCUGCAGAAGAAGCACCGGCUAACUACGUG
rnacentral:rRNA from 1 species